GACGAACCGUGCGAACGUUAUUCGGAAUCACUGGGCUUAAAGCGCGUGUAGGCUGAUGGGUACGUCGGUCGCUGAAAGCCCCCGGCUCAACCGGGGAAUGGGCGCCGAAACGACCCGUCUGGAGGGACGUAGGGGGACCUGGAACUUCCGGUGGAGCGGCGAAAUGCGUUGAGAUCGGAAGGAACGCCCGUGGCGAAAGCGAGGUCCUGGACGUCUACUGACGCUGAGACGCGAAAGCUAGGGGAGCGAACGGG
rnacentral:rRNA from 1 species